UGCAUGACUUUUUACUGACUCAUUUGUCAAAACACUCUGACAUUAUCUAUGUAUGAUCAUUUUAGAGAUUGAGGAAAAUAAACUCAAGAACUGGUGACUUGCCCAGGUCACACUACUGGUGGGUAGCAAAACAGCAGCUAGAAUCUAUAGCUUCUGGCUUUCCAGCCAGUCCUUGUUCCACUACAUUCAUUACUUCUUUGCUGGACUGAAAAGCUUAGGACUUUUCCUGUAAGUAAUACGGAGCCAUUGAAGAUCUGAAGUUUCAAGGAAGUGGUAGGAUGGAUUCUCUUUUACUAUAAGAUGAGGAUGAGGAAGCGGAGGAUCAGAGCUUACGUGAUUGGCUCAGUAUCACACAGUACCACACAAUAAACGAUGAGGAGAUUCUGGCUCACAGAGGUGAAGUGAUCUGCUCAAGAUGAAAUAGCCAGCUGGUGAAAUUACUGAGACAAGCACUCAGCCCUGUGCCCAUCCUGCUGUGAUUCAGGAGUCUCGCAGAAGACAUCAGAAUGCCUUUCUCUGAGUCACAGUCUGUAUCUUCUAGAAAAGGCUGUCCAUCUUCACCCCAAGCCCACUGGCUCCUGAGAUACGACAUCCAGACCCAGUGCAGCUGGACCUGGCCCAGGAAGAUCAUGCGGUUUCUGGGAAGCACUGGAGAAGGAAAAGGCUGAAGAAAGGAAGACCGGAAAAGAAAUACAAGUCCUUCCGCCUUGGCAAAGAUGAUAGUACCGUUCCCUUCAGUGUUCCGGUUCUGCUCUAUUGGAUAAGUUCCGGUUUGACUAUGACUACGUGAAAAUGUGGAACCAGACCUUCACCCCACAUUCCAGCUCCAGCUCUACCACAGAGGAAGUGCAAUAUCACCUUAGUUAUUCAACACAUUAUGCUCCUCGUGAUACAACCAGAGUUCACAUCAGCAAUCUUGGCAGCUCUCACCACGCUGCUGACUCACGACUCUCUCAUGUCCCAAUUUCCUGUCCAUUGUUCUUUCCUCUACUUGGCCUGAUUUCUAAAGGCCUCUCUUGGUUGCAUUAAGCGGGAUUCCUGAGGGAUUCCCUUGGCAGUUACCUUGGGGGAGCUCUUAGGUUUGGGGCUGAUCCAUGUCCUCUAAAUGUAGGACUUCAAAGCUCCCAAAGAUAGGCAGGCCCAGUGGGAAGCUGGGAAAUGCUCUCUGACCCCUCUGGGAGGGCUGGCAGUCAGAGGGCCUUUUGGAAAGAGUCAGACCUGAUCCAUAAGUCCCUGGAAAACACCCUGCCCAGGGAGCAAAUGCCACUGUGGCCUUGACUGAGGCUUCAGAAGAGUUUGGGAGCUGCAAUUCAUCCACACACGCAUUCAUUUUCAAGUAGUGGUUUGCAGUUCAGGCUUUGGAGCCACAUAAGCCUGGCUUCAAAGCCACUUUCCAGCUUUGUAGGAAGUCUCUACAUUUUUAAACCUCCAUUUUUUUUUCCUGUAAAACUGGGGUCUUCAUGGUACUUAACUUCAUCGUGAUGUUGAGAGAAUGAAAAGAAAAAGGAUAAAUAAAUGGCUUAGCCUCGUGC
rnacentral:lncRNA from 1 species